rnacentral:rRNA from 1 species
AGUGAACGCUGGCGGUAGGCCUAACACAUGCAAGUCGAACGGCAGCACAGUAAGAGCUUGCUCUUACGGGUGGCGAGUGGCGGACGGGUGAGGAAUACAUCGGAAUCUACUUUUUCGUGGGGGAUAACGUAGGGAAACUUACGCUAAUACCGCAUACGACCUACGGGUGAAAGCAGGGGAUCUUCGGACCUUGCGCGAUCGAAUGAGCCGAUGUCGGAUUAGCUAGUUGGCGGGGUAAAGGCCCACCAAGGCGACGAUCCGUAGCUGGUCUGAGAGGAUGAUCAGCCACACUGGAACUGAGACACGGUCCAGACUCCUACGGGAGGCAGCAGUGGGGAAUAUUGGACAAUGGGCGCAAGCCUGAUCCAGCCAUACCGCGUGGGUGAAGAAGGCCUUCGGGUUGUAAAGCCCUUUUGUUGGGGAAGAAAAGCAGCAGGUUAAUACCCCGCUGUUCUGACGGUACCCAAAGAAUAAGCACCGGCUAACUUCGUG